AACGAACGCUGGCGGCAUGCCUAACACAUGCAAGUCGAACGAGACCUUCGGGUCUAGUGGCGCACGGGUGCGUAACGCGUGGGAAUCUGCCCUCUGGUUCGUAACAACAGUUGGAAACGACUGCUAAUACCGGAUAAUGACUUCGGUCCAAAGAUUUAUCGCCUGAGGAUGAGCCCGCGUCGGAUUAGCUUGUUGGUGAGGUAAAAGCUCACCAAGGCGACGAUUCGUAGCUGGUCUGAGAGGAUGAUCAGCCACACUGGGACUGAGACACGGCCCAGACUCCUACGGGAGGCAGCAGUGGGGAAUAUUGGACAAUGGGCGAAAGCCUGAUCCAGCAAUGCCGCGUGAGUGAUGAAGGCCUUAGGGUCGUAAAGCUCUUUUACCCGGGAUGAUAAUGACGGUACCGGGAGAAUAAGCUCCGGCUAACUCCGUGCCAGCAGCCGCCGUAAUAC
rnacentral:rRNA from 1 species